rnacentral:rRNA from 1 species
UACGAAGGGGGCGAGCGUUGUUCGGAAUUACUGGGCGUAAAGGGCGCGUAGGCGGCCUGGCAAGUGGAAGGUGAAAUCCCUCGGCUUAACCGAGGAACUGCCCUCCAAACUGCUUGGCUUGAGUCCGGGAGAGGUGAGUGGAAUUCCCAGUGUAGCGGUGAAAUGCGUAGAUAUUGGGAGGAACACCAGUGGCGAAGGCGGCUCACUGGACCGGAACUGACGCUGAGGCGCGAAAGCGUGGGGAGCAAACGGG